UCCCUCGUGGUGCAAUUGGUUAGCGCGUCAGACUAUUAAUUUCGAGGCUAUUGGUUCGACCCCAACCCCCAGAA